ACUUGAGAUGACGACCAUGUAAAAGUAUAAAGAAAGUGUAUAGAUUGUCGAAGGAUCAUAUGAACCAGUUAGGGUGUGAAUUACACCCUUUGAUGAAGACCACUAAAAGCCAUUGAAAAGGACUUUCAACUCUUCUAAAGUUUCAGUUAUUGUGCACCUUGUUAUUUUUGGCCAAUUGAAGUUACCAAAAAAAUCAUAAAAGAAAAUAUAAGAACACAUUUGUCCCAGACAUCCCAGUGUAUAUCUGAGGUUGUGGAGGCUCUGAACAACCCAGCAACUAUAUAUAAAUAUUUAAGAUUCCCACAGAAUGCUCAAGAAUGGCAAAAGUUGAAGGAAAAGCAAAGAAAAAAGAAGAAGGUGGUUUAAGCUAAAUAGGAACAGAUGGCGGUGCACUAUAAAAAACAAACUGUUUCAAGGCCAUGACCACGACCCUCAGUAAUGAGGAAACCCAUGCAAGGAGGAGGAGGAGAGGUUUAAGCUAAAUAAAAAAAUGUUUUCUUCAUAAAAAAUUACCAAUAUUAAUGUAAUGCUAAAUAUUGCAGUUUUUAUGAAAAAUUUAGAAUCCUUUGGGUUAUUGGGUGUAUUGAUGGGAAGUUGGUGGCCUUAAAAAGAUCUGCUACCAAUAAAAAAUGGUUUUACUGUCGCAAAGAAUAUCAUGCAAGAAAUGUACAAUUUGUAAAGCUAUUAAUAUUUUUCGAAAUUCUGAUAUGUAAUCCAUAAACGAAAUGUGUAUUAAGAACCUAUGUAUUCAGAUUGUAUUCAUUUCAGUUAAAUUGUAAUUGUGUAUAUUGCUAUAAGUUAUUGUGAAAUAUAGUAUUUAUCUUAAAUAAACUUUAUUCAGUUAUAAUCAAAACAAAAUAAAAUCUACUAGAUUAGUCAAUGACAGCAAGUAAUGACCAUUAUAAUUAUUUAACAUAUUUUCGGGCUUUCUGUAUAUUGUCAACGUUCCAACCUUAUGACACCUUUUGCUAUUAUUUUUUUCAUUGCUUAGAUUGGUGGACGAGCUCCCAGCCCACCUGGUGUUAAAUGGUUACUGAAGCCCAUAGACAUCUACAACAUAAAUGCGCCACCCACCUUGAGAUAUAAAUUCUAAGGUCUCAGUAUAGUUACAACAGCUGCCCCACCCUUCAAACCGAAACACAUUACUGCUUCACGGCAUAAAUAGGCGAUAACGCUAUGCUAUGCUAGCUAAUACCUGCUAAUAAUAGCUAGCUAUUGCUAAUAUGGAGGAAGAUACUCCUGAUGCUUUGUAGCACCGCCUUCAUUCCACUGCCUGUAACUCAGUGUAAAGAACAAUAGGUAUGUUAAAGAGUAGAUUCAGGUGUUUGCUGAUCUAUAGGGUGCCAAUUUACCACCCUGAUAAGAUAGCAAAAAUAGUUGUUGCGUGUUGUGUUUUGCACAACAUUUGCAAUUGUGCAGAGCUGCCCGUUCCCAUGAUUUCAGAUGAUGAGAUUACAUGUACAUUAUGGUGGUCAUGUUGAAUUACUUUGUUAAAUUUUACUAAUUAGCUAACUUAUAGUGUGAACUAACUUCAAAUAUAAAUUAAUGAUUUAUAAAAA